UUUUUUACUUUUAUUCCGUUAUAAGUUAUCCCUUGACUGUUAUCUCACCUGGUGGUAAGUGAUGAUGCAGUCUAAGAUGAAGGCGGGCUAACCUGGAAGGAGUAUAGCAGU